GCAGCAGCAGCAGCAGCAACAGCAGCAAUAGCAGCAGCAACAGCAGCAACAGCAGCAACAGCAGCAACAGCAGCAACAGCAGCAGCAGCAGCAGCAGCAGCAGCAAUAGCAAUAG
ensembl:miRNA Gm44396 predicted gene, 44396